UACGUAGGGGCGAGCGUUGUCCGGAAUCAUUGGGCGUAAAGCGCGUGUAGGCGGCUCGAUAAGUCUGCUGUGAAAGUCCAGGGCUCAACCCUGGAAUGCCGGUGGAAACUGUUGAGCUUGAGUCCGGAAGAGGCGAGUGGAAUUCCUGGUGUAGCGGUGAAAUGCGCAGAUAUCAGGAGGAACACCAAUGGCGAAGGCAGCUCGCUGGGACGGUACUGACGCUGAGACGCGAAAGCGUGGGAGCAAACAGG
rnacentral:rRNA from 1 species